CUGGAAACAGAGUUGGGUUUAUUAGUUAAUGAAGACCAGGAAAAGGAUGACAUUUUAAAUAACUAUUUUCCUUCCGUAUAUAUUGAGGAUCCUAUGGCAAGCGAUAUGCAAAUGAUUGCUGCAAAAAAACUUGCAGAUACAGUGUGAUUGGAUAACUCGAAACAAGGUGCUACAGCAGAUGUGGUGUCUACCUUUUAAAAGGGUUUAAAAGUUCAACAUGGAAACUACAGACCUGUGAGUUUAAAGGGACACUAUAGUCACCCAGACCACUUCAGCUCAAUGAAGUGGUCUGGGUGCCAGGUCCCUCAUUUUAUAACCCUUCAGAUGCAAACAUAGCAGUUUCAGAGAAACAUUUGGGGUUAAGCCAGCCUCUAGACAGCCACUCUGCGACGCUGGAGGCAUAUUAUGCCUCGGCGGGGGAGGACAGGGAGCCCGGCGCUGGAAUAAGGUAAGCUGCUGAAUGGGGAUUUAACUCCUUCAGAGCCACGGGGGCACCCUCAGGGCACUAUAGUGUCAGGAAAAACGCUUUGUUUUCCUGACACUAUAGUGAUCCUUUAACAUAUGUAGUUGCAAAAUUAUUUGAAGGGCUCUUAAGUGACAUUUAAGAAUUAAUUUUGGGUACAAUUAGAUUUAGAAUCAACAUAGUUUUUUCACACAGGUCAUGCCAAAAUAACUGUUAUUUUGCAUUCUAUGAAGAAGUUAGAAGAAAUGAAUAUCAGGGUGACCCGGUAGAUGUGACCUACUUUGAUUUUUUUGAAGACAUUUGAUACAGUUCCACACAAAAGGUUACUAAUAAACGUCAGAUGAUUUAGAUAAAAAAUUGUGUUCUUGGAUAGUGCACUG